rnacentral:rRNA from 1 species
UGGGGAAUAUUGCACAAUGGGCGCAAGCCUGAUGCAGCCAUGCCGCGUGUAUGAAGAAGGCCUUCGGGUUGUAAAGUACUUUCAGCGGGGAGGAAGGGAGUAAAGUUAAUACCUUUGCUCAUUGACGUUACCCGCAGAAGAAGCACCGGCUAACUCCGUGCCAGCAGCCGCGGUAAUACGGAGGGUGCAAGCGUUAAUCGGAAUUACUGGGCGUAAAGCGCACGCAGGCGGUUUGUUAAGUCAGAUGUGAAAUCCUCGGGCUCAACCUGGGAACUGCAUCUGAUACUGGCAAGCUUGAGUCUCGUAGAGGUGGGUAGAAUUCCAGGUGUAGCGGUGAAAUGCGUAGAGAUCUGGAGGAAUACCGGUGGCGAAGGCGGCCCCCUGGACGAAGACUGACGCUCAGGUGCGAAAGCGUGGGGAGCAAACAGG